GUUGUUCUCCAAGUCCACUGAAGGUAGGACAAGCACUACUGGGCUUAACUGCAGCAAGGGAGAUUGGGGUUCGCUAUUAGGAAAUCUUUCUAACGCUAAGGGCAGUUAAGCUCUGGAAUAGGGUUCCUAGGGUGUUUGUGGAAUCCCUGUCAUUGGAGGUUUUUAAGAACAGGUUGGCCAAACACCUGUCAGGGAAGGUCUAGGUGCACUUGGUCCUGCCUCAGUGCGGGGGGCUGGACUUGACUUCUCAAGGUCCCUUCCAGCCUGACAUUUCUAUCAAAGGCAGGCUGGGGGAAGGGAUUCUUCAAGCUCCGCGUUGGCCCCUAGUUUGGCUAGGUGGGGUUUGGGGGUCAUUUUACUCUUACAAUAGUUCUAUGUCGACAUAACAUCCAGGGUAGAGCUAGCACGAUUCAUUCCCAAAGAGCCACUUGGUCUUUCCGGCCAGUGUAAGAACCUUUGUUUCCUCUCCGUUUGGCAGCUCUGAGAAGGUGAUUCAGCAACACCUGAGGGAAUUCUUUGGCCUGCUGAGGAUCUUGGUGAACGUGGUCCUCAUUUUCCUUAUUGAGCUGGUCCGCUUUCUCGGCAAGUCAGUGUUCCAGGUCUUGGUGGUGGGCCUGCUGACAACAGCAGGCGAUCACAUUCUUAAGCCCUUCUUGGUCGCCGUGUUUAACAGCCUCCUGCAGCCCCUGCUGCUAUUCCUGUUGAAUGUCCUUUGCAGUGUCCGGAACCUGACUUACCCUCUCAUCGACAUCCUGAAAGGCAUUUGUUUGCAGCUGGCUGUGGUGCUUCAAGCCUUCAGAUUAGUAGAAGUCAACAUACAGUCAGAGACCCCAUUAGCUCAGAAGGUUUAGGCAGGAGACCAAAAUCCCUUUGGCAGGCAAUGAGACCAGAUUCACUCUUUGGAUGCUCCUGGACGUCUUUCCAGGGGCACUGUCCCGCUGGCAGCUUGCCAGCAGCCUGCGCCAACACGCAGCAGAGUGGAGCAGAAUGUAGCCCUCUUCAUCAUGACAACAUGGAUGUGGCCUCCAGACACUCCGUCUGAGUGCCAAGCAAGACCACCAUUGCAUGCUGGACCCCUAGCAGGCCAUGCAGUCUGCACUGGGUGUAGUCAAGCUGAGGAUGACCAUGUUCUGACUACAUUAGGCAAAGAACUGUGCUUGCACUCUGGGGACCCCUGUUCUAACCCCUCCCAAAGGGGUUUGUAAUGAGCCAUUUGAAAUCCUAAUGCAUGGGAAGAUUGACAGUGGCAAAGGGACCCUGAUGGCAGAGUGAGGUGGGCAGUGAUGGUUGCUCUGGAAUUGGCCUCCUAGGGGAGGGAAGAAGGGAGAGACCCUUCCUCUGACAGCUCUGACAGAACCAUGUGCAGACCAGGGCAGGCGACCACCCAAACAGGAAAACAAGUGUAGCUGGAUAGUUCUGUCUAAGGCACUGGACACGAAGCACAGCUGGGCCUGUCUCUAACUCGCUAGUGCCCAGUACGACCUCCCUGUAAAAUAAAAUUCUACAACCUGGA